rnacentral:lncRNA from 1 species
UUGGCCCUGCCUCUAACAUGCAUCAGAAUCUUCGAUCCCUCACAACACUCGCUCGCUCUGGAUGACAAAAUCGCAAUCUGAACCUCGACUCCUCACUAAAGUGCAUCUUGGAUAAAGUCCGAGGGUCUUAGGAAUUGCGAUCGUGCGAGAGGAUCACAUCGGCCUCACUUGAGCACAGCGGGGACUCCGAAUGCCUCCGAAGAAGGACAAACCCAAGGGAACGAUAGAAUCACAAGGUGUAACUUUCCGAGUAUUGUCACGGCACCCCAUGGCGCGGCACUAGCUGAAUAGAAGUGUGCAAGCACCAGAUCACCACCUC